rnacentral:rRNA from 1 species
GGGGAAUUGUUCGCAAUGGGCGCAAGCCUGACGACGCCACGCCGCGUGGAGGAUGAAGAUCUUCGGGUCGUAAACUCCUUUCGAUCGGGACGAAUGGCCGGAGACCUAACACGUUUCCGGAGUGACGGUACCGAGAGAAGAAGCCCCGGCUAACUCCGUGCCAGCAGCCGCGGUAAUACGGGGGGGGCAAGCGUUGUUCGGAAUUACUGGGCGUAAAGGGCGCGUAGGCGGCUUGGCAAGUCAGGUGUGAAAGGCCUGGGCUCAACCCAGGAACUGCACUUGAGACUGCCUCGCUUGAGUCCGGGAGAGGAUGGCGGAAUUCCCAGUGUAGAGGUGAAAUUCGUAGAUAUUGGGAAGAACACCGGUGGCGAAGGCGGCCAUCUGGACCGGUACUGACGCUGAGGCGCGAAAGCGUGGGGAGCAAA